GCUGGCAGCGCUUGGGCCCACAGUUGGUUUGUCACGUGGUGACGGCUGCACAGGCUUUCCCCACUCCUGCUUAAGGAAGCUGCUACAGUUUGUAAAUGCAGUGGCGGCCGCCUUCUCCACGGAACAUUCUGGAGAUGAGGGAGGAGACUUCGGAGAGGCAAAGCUGGGCCUUUUUGGCCGAGACCAGACCUGAGCUCCUGUAGGACGGGAAGAAAGUUUUUAGCAUAUGGCAGGCAGCUGUCAAUCGUGUUCGUACGGAAUCACAGGUUGUUUACAUACUGGAGUAGAGUCGUUAGGGUGGCUGGCUUGAAAAGGUAUGAGGUUUUGCUGGAGGCCUUUCCAAAAAGAGUCGGGGAGUUUUGAAACCCCCGAGGCAGCUGAGUCCAGGUUUUGGGGUACAUGUGGAGAACAUGCAAGAUUGUUGCAUAGGUGCACACGUGGCAGUGUGAUGUGCUGCCUUCCUCCCCUUCACCUGUAUCUGGCAUUUCUCCCCAUGCUCUCUCUCCCCAACUCCCACUUCCCGCUGUCCCUCCCCUAUUUCCCCCCGACAGACCCCAGUGUGUGAGGCUCCCCUCCCUGUGUCCAUGUGUUCUUUGUUCAACACCCGCCUAUGAGUGAGAACAUGCAGUGUUUGAUUUUC